rnacentral:rRNA from 1 species
UACGAAGGGGGCUAGCGUUGCUCGGAAUUACUGGGCGUAAAGCGCACGUAGGCGGCUUUCUAAGUCGGGGGUGAAAUCCUGGAGCUCAACUCCAGAACUGCCUCGAUACUGGAGAGCUCGAGUCCGGGAGAGGUGAGUGGAACUGCGAGUGUAGAGGUGAAAUUCGUAGAUAUUCGCAAGAACACCAGUGGCGAAGGCGGCUCACUGGCCCGGUACUGACGCUGAGGUGCGAAAGCGUGGGGAGC